rfam:Pluralibacter gergoviae strain JS81F13 contig_42, whole genome shotgun sequence.
UGUCGCACUGGCGACCACCAAUGCUCUUGUAGCCUGUGAUGAGCGCCUUCGGGUGGCUACAGUCGCACUUAAGCUGCGACCACUAAUGUUCCGGCAGUCUGUGAGGAGCGCCUUCGGGUGACUGCACAAUAAAACUCUCUAAGCCUGAAAGGGAGUACAUAAACAAUGUGGCAAAUCU